UGCAGAAUCCCGUGAACCAUCGAGUUUUUGAACGCAAGUUGCGCCCGAAGCCAUUCGGCCGAGGGCACGUCUGCCUGGGCGUC
rnacentral:rRNA from 2 species